CUGGUCAAGCUAAGCUCUCUGGGCGCCAGUCUUAUUGGAUAAGAGAGCCGAAAGGCUAAGGCUGAGAGUUAAGUGACCGAACUGGAGGUAAGGUCCCUGGUCGAGCUUUGCUCUCUGGGCGCCAGUCCUGUUGGAAUGAGAGGUUUGAGAUGAUAGAGUUGAGGUUAGUUGAGACAUAAGUGUUAAAAUAAUCGAGAUUUUAGAGUUGGGAUUAGAGUUCUACUGAAGUACUCCGUCCCGUUGCAUGUGAAAUAAUUUUUGUUUAAG
rnacentral:lncRNA from 1 species